GAUGAAGAACGUAGCGAAAUGCGAUAAGUAAUGUGAAUUGCAGAAUUCAGUGAAUCAUCGAAUCUUUGAACGCACAUUGCGCCCGCCAGUAUUCUGGCGGGCAUGCCUGUUCGAGCGUCAUUACAACCCUCAGGCCCCCGGGCCUGGCGUUGGGGAUCGGCGGAGCCCCCCGUGGGCACACGCCGUCCCCCAAAUACAGUGGCGGUCCCGCCGCAGCUUCCAUCGCGUAGUAGCUAACACCUCGCGCCUGGAGAGCGGCGCGGCCACGCCGUAAAACACCCAACUCUUCUGAAGUUGACCUCGAAUCAGGUAGGAAUACCCGCUGAACUUAAGCAUAUCAAUAAGCGGAGGA
rnacentral:misc_RNA from 1 species